GGGAUAGUGGUCUAGUGGUAUGAUUCUCGCUUCGGGUGCGAGAGGUCCCGGGUUCGAUUCCCGGCUGUCCCC